CACGUAGGCACCAAGCGUUGUCCGGAUUUAUUGGGCGUAAAGAGCUCGUAGGCGGUUCAGUAAGUCAGGUGUGAAAUCUUUGGGCUUAACCCAAAGCGUGCACUUGAUACUGCUGUGACUUGAGUUCGGUAGGGGAGUGGGGAAUUCCUAGUGUAGCGGUGAAAUGCGCAGAUAUUAGGAGGAACACCGGUGGCGAAAGCAGCUCUCUGGGACGGUACUGACGCUGAGGCGCGAAAGCGUGGGGAGCGAACAGG
rnacentral:rRNA from 1 species